rnacentral:tRNA from 1 species
GGUUCCGUAAGAAAGUGGUUUAAUCCCCGCGACUGCAACUCGCGUAUCGACGGUUCGAAUCCGCCCGGAACCU